UACACACAAUUUUAAGCUAUUGCAUUGAU
rnacentral:sRNA from 1 species